rnacentral:rRNA from 1 species
AACGUAGGUGGCGAACGUUAUCCGGAUUCACUGGGCGUAAAGCGUGCGCAGGCGGCUUUUCAAGUCGGAUGUAAAAUCUCCUGGCUCAACUGGGAGGGACCAUCCGAUACUGUUGGGCUAGAGUGCAGUAGAGGAGAGUGGAAUUCCCGGUGUAAUGGUGGAAUGUGUAGAUAUCGGGAGGAACACCAGUGGCGAAAGCGGCUCUCUGGGCUGUUACUGACGCUGAUGCACGAAAGCGUGGGGAGCAAAC